CCUGGAUCCCUCAGCUCCAGCUCCUGUGUCCUCCAAAUCCAAAUUCAAAUCCAAAUCCAAAUCCAGUCCUUGGGUCCCCACAUCCAACCCCUGUGUCCUUCAAAUCCAAACCCUUGGUCCUCCAAAUCCAAAUCCAAAUCCAAUUCCUGUGUCCUCUAAAUCCAAAUCCAAAUUCAAAUCCAAUUCCUGUGUCCUCCAAAUCCAAAUCCAUCCCUGUGUCCCCCAGCCCCUCCAAGCCCUGGCUCUCUCAGCCCCUCAGCAAUGAAAUCCCCCCAGAGCAGAGCCCGAAGCCCCCCGGACCAUUCCCAAGGGUUCUCCUGGCCCAGGGCAGUGAGCAGAGGGAGAGCAGGGUGGGAGUGGGCCCAGAGACCCCUCCUGAGGGGAAUUUCGGGAACCGUUUCCUUCACUUCUUCCUGCGGAUUUUGGGUUUCUUGACGGGCCUCAGGUAGGGGUUGUCGAUGACGUUCUCGUCGCCGUUCCUGCUGCCCGCCAGGGAGCUGCUCUGCUGCAGCACCGAGCUGUUCUCCUUCUCGGCCCCCGCCUCGUCCUGCCACGGAAAAAACACCACAAAAACCACCGAGUCAGCUGUUGGGGAUUGUCACAGACAUUUUUUCAUAGAAAUCCUUUCUUUCACAUUUUGUCCAUCUCCUGGG
rnacentral:lncRNA from 1 species